rnacentral:tRNA from 1 species
AGUAUUACGCCGGAUGAACGGGGAUCAUUGAUGUUGAUCAACAUAGGAGAUUGUAUCUCUUUAAUAUUA